CGGUAGCACAGAGAGCUUGCUCUCGGGUGACGAGUGGCGGACGGGUGAGUAAUGUCUGGGAAACUGCCCGAUGGAGGGGGAUAACUACUGGAAACGGUAGCUAAUACCGCAUAACGUCUUCGGACCAAAGUGGGGGACCUUCGGGCCUCACACCAUCGGAUGUGCCCAGAUGGGAUUAGCUAGUAGGUGGGGUAAUGGCUCACCUAGGCGACGAUCCCUAGCUGGUCUGAGAGGAUGACCAGCCACACUGGAACUGAGACACGGUCCAGACUCCUACGGGAGGCAGCAGUGGGGAAUAUUGCACAAUGGGCGCAAGCCUGAUGCAGCCAUGCCGCGUGUAUGAAGAAGGCCUUCGGGUUGUAAAGUACUUUCAGCGGGGAGGAAGGCGAUGUGGUUAAUAACCGCAUCGAUUGACGUUACCCGCAGAAGAAGCACCGGCUAACUCCGUGCCAGCAGCCGCGGUAAUACGGAGGGUGCAAGCGUUAAUCGGAAUUACUGGGCGUAAAGCGCACGCAGGCGGUCUGUCAAGUCGGAUGUGAAAUCCCCGGGCUUAACCUGGGAACUGCAUUCGAAACUGGCAGGCUAGAGUCUUG
rnacentral:rRNA from 1 species